rnacentral:rRNA from 1 species
AAGCAAUUUCCGGGAGGAUUGGCAUAACGCGCUGAAAAGUGCGCUAAUUCCAAAUGGUCUUGGAGGAAACUUCAAGUAAAGCUGAGGACCGGCAACGGCUUGGCGCCUUCUGAUAAGCUUGCGGCCUAUCAGCUAGUUGGCGGGGUAACGGCCCACCAAGGCAAUGACGGGUAGCUGGUCUGAGAGGACGACCAGCCACACUGGAACUGAGACACGGUCCAGACACCUACGGGUGGCAGCAGUCGAGAAUUUUUCACAAUGGGGGCAACCCUGAUGGAGCGACGCCGCGUGGGGGAUGAAUGGCUUCGGCCCGUAAACCCCUGUCAUUUGUGAUCAAUGCAGUCAGCUAAACAGGCUGACUGAUGGAUAGUAGCAAAAGAGGAAGGGACGGCUAACUCUGUGCCAGCAGCCGCGGUAAUACAGAGGUCCCGAGCGUUGUUCGGAAUUACUGGGCGUAAAGGGCGCGUAGGCGGCCCUGCAAGUUGAAAGUAAAAUAUUGCGGCUCAACCGCGAUACGCUUUCAAAACUGCGGGGCUAGAGGUUUGCAGAAGAAACUGGAAUUUUCGGUGUAGCAGUGAAAUGCGUAGAUAUCGAAAGGAACAUCAGUGGCGAAAGCGAGUUUCUAGGCAACACCAGACGCU